rnacentral:lncRNA from 1 species
AUGGGUAAAUAAAGUUCAAGUACUCCUAAAAAUGGAACUUAGUAUUGUAAAUGAACUCCAUUUAUGGUCCCCUUCUCCCUAUGGUUGUCCAAUAUCGCAUAGUAGGUAGACUAUCUUAGAUGUUUUCCUCUUAUCCAUUUGAAAUACAAGGCAGAGGAUCGGAGAUAGUGCCAAAAUAGUAUUUUUUUACUGACAAAUUACUUGCUGGACUUACUGUGGUGAAUUAAGAGCUCACAUUUAACUUUAACAUACUAAACAC